rnacentral:lncRNA from 1 species
CUGGAACACUUGGUCUAUGCUGACCUACCCUUAUACUCCAACUCAGAGCUUCAACAUGCGUACUUUGACACAAAGUAUGUGAUACUAAGUGUUACAACCAACAUGGUUCACAUAUCAAAAGCAUGGAUCCCUUCAUGCAAAGCAAAACAUUCAUAAGCAUCACUCAUAUCAAUCAACAUAAACAUUAUACAUUCUAACACAUUCAUACAUAAACAUCAUACAUUCCAACACAUUCAUACAUAAACAUCAUACAUUCUAACACAUUCAUACAUAAGCCAAUUGUGCUUCGAAAGGGUUCAACAUACUUUGUGUCUUCGACACUUGCUACAAUGUGCCUCGACACCUUGCCCUUAUUCUCACCAACCAGGUGAUGAAAUGUGAAGAAUGAACUCAUUUAUCAUUUGGCAACUUGCCACUCAUGCCACCAAUUAGGUGAAGAAGGAACUCAUCUUCAUGCCACCAACCAGGUGAUGAAAUGUACAACCCGUACUUUCCUUCAUGCCACCAACCAGGUGAUGAAAUGUACAACCCAUACUCUAAUAUCAUUUGGUAACUUGCCACUCAUGCCACCAACCAGGUGAUGAAAUGUACAACCCGUACUCUAAUAUCAUUUGGCAACUUGCCAUUCAUGCCACCAACCAGGGGAAGAAGGAACUUAUCCUCGUGCCACCAACCAGGUGAUGAAAUGUGAUGAAAGGUGAUGAAGGAACUCACAUUCGUACCACCAACCAAGUGAUGAAAGCAACUCACCAUUCAUUCCACCUACCAGAAGACGAGUGAUACAACUUGUACAUGUGAACUCCUAGCAUUCACAAAUAAUCAAAAACCCUCAAGCUUGACAACUCAACUAGGGGAGCACUUAUGCCCAACAAGAGUUAUAGCCACCAACAAAGUCUUAUUGCAAGCCAACAACAACCUCAAUGCAUGGCAUACAAAGAUCAAACUAUUCAGCCCUCUUGCAUCUGCUUCAAACAUUUCCCCUCUGUAACAAUGCAAACACUACAACUCGUAGAAAGCUUCACACACUCUUGAUCAAGACAGUGUGAAGCAAAACCAAUUUAUGGUGCCAACAAGAGUUUCAUUAAAGGAGUUCAACCAUAAUUCUCAAAAGCUUCACACACUCUUGAUCAAUACAAUGUGAAGCAAAACCAAUUUAUGGUGCCAACAAGAGCUUCAUCAAUGGAGGGCAACCACAAUUCUCAAAAGCUUCACACACUCUUGAUCAAGACAGUGAAUUCUCAAAAGCUUCACACACUCUUGAUCAAGACAGUGUGAAGCAAAACCAACUUAUGGUGCCAACAAGAGCUUCAUCAAUGGAAGGCAACCACAAUUCUCAAAAGCUUCACACACUCUUGAUCAAGAUAGUGUAAAGCAAAACCAAUUUAUGGUGCCAACAAGAGCUUCAUCAAUGAAGGGCAACCACAAUUCUCAAAAGUUUCACACACUCUUGAUCAAAACAGUGUGAAGCAAAACCAAUUUAUGGUGCCAACAAAAGCUUCAUCAAAGGAGUAUUCUUAAAAGCUUCACAGACUCUUGAUCAAGACAGUGUGAAGCAAAACCAAUUUAUGGUGCCAACAAAAGCUUUAUCAAUGGAGGGCAACUACAAUUCUCAAACAUUCGAAGCAAAUUCAAGACUGUUCGAAGCAAAUUCAAUUUAUAUGGUUCAUCCAAACCUUUGACUACUACAAGGUGUGGCUUGCAUCACAAUCUCUUGCUCAACAGUAUGGAAGAAAAAUUUGUAUAUGUUGUCUCUCCCACAUUUUCAAAUAUCUAGUUUCCCAAAAAAAAAAAAAAAGGGAAAUUCAACAAAGCUUCAUCAAUGGAGGACAACUACAAAUUCUCAAAAGCUUCACACUAUCCUGAUCAAGAUAGUGUGAAGCAAAAUCAAUUCGUGGUACCCAACAAAAGCUUCACCCAUAAAAGCUUCACCAACAAAAGCUUUAACUCCAAAGCUUCACGUACAAAAGCUUCACCCACAAUAGCUUCACCUACAAAAGCUUCACCCACAAAAGCUU